ensembl:lincRNA Gm13291 predicted gene 13291
AUCAUCAAGCCACCUCAAGAAGAAGGGAGGACCAUUCUCUUCUUCUUGUGACUGUGCCUUCCAAAGGCCAAUCUCAGAUAUCCUGAAAUAGAUGUGUGUUCCUAUGCACUGGGACCCUUCUGGAUGGACCCUCUCAAUGUUACCCACAGCAUAGCAGAAUGACUACAGAGUUCUGCUCACUAACGAGUGGUGGCUGUUGUUCUUGCUGCAUCUGAGGUGGUAUGGACCUAGUGUGCUUUUCCUCCUGAGGCUACUGACCAGCUGGCUGCAGUGAUCAUCACUCUCCUGGCUGCAGUGAGCUGUAGUGGUCAUCACUCUCCUCGUAGCAGUGAGCUGCAGUGGUUAUCACUCUCCUGUCUACAAUGUUCAUCACUCUCCUGGCUGCAGUGAGCUGCAGUGGUCAUCACUCUCCUGGCUGCAAUGUUCAUCACUCUCCUGGCUGCAGUGAGCUGCAGUGGUCAUCACCCUCCUGGCUGCAGUGAGCUGCAGUGGUCAUCACUCUCCUGGCUGCAGUGAACUGCAGUGGUCAUC